rnacentral:rRNA from 1 species
AUUGAACGCUGGCGGCAGGCCUAACACAUGCAAGUCGAACGGUAGCACAGAGAGCUUGCUCUCGGGUGACGAGUGGCGGACGGGUGAGUAAUGUCUGGGAAACUGCCCGAUGGGAGGGGGAUAACUACUGGAAACGGUAGCUAAUACCGCAUAACGUCGCAAGACCAAAGGAGGGGGACCUUCGGGCCUCUUGCCAUCGGAUGUGCCCAGAUGGGAUUAGCUUGUAGGG